rnacentral:misc_RNA from 1 species
AGUUUUUCUGGACAUAAUAUUAUCUAAUGUUUUAGUUGAUAGGCCUUUCCCAGGUGAGUCAAGCUCUUCAUGAACAUCUGGAUGCAAGUUGUAGAUAGGAUCCAAACGAGGUGCAUGCUCAGAAAACACAGCUGCUUGUUCUAAUUCAUACAAGAAUGAAGUUUCAAAAGGCAGAGCAUGCUCAGUCAAAUCACUUGUAGAGAACUGA